ACAAGCAAACCGUCAUUACUAUCUACCUUUUAUAAUAACUUUAUCUUUUAAUAAUUUUACUGACAAAGAAAUGAACAAGUUAAGCAUAAUUGUAUUAGCAAUAUUGGCACUGUUAUUGAUAUUUACCACAAAUGAGGUUCACUUACAAAACCAGGAUGGUUCCAAACAUGCUACUGACAAAAGGAACAUGUCAUGUAAUAAUUACUGCCGUAACAAAGGUAAAUUGACUGGAUACUACAGUCAAAUAAUAAACACUUGCAAUUGCUCAACGGUCAACAUAACAACAAAACAACAUUGGUAGAAUAUUAUUUAUAAUUUUUUUCUAAUAAAAUACCUGUACAUUUUAAUAUAAAAUAAUAAAAUAAAUUUAAAAUAAA